rnacentral:rRNA from 1 species
AACGUAGGAGACAAACGUUAUCCGGAGUUACUGGGCGUAAAGGGCGUGUAGGUGGUUUCGUAAGUCUGGCGUGAAAUUUUUCGGCUUAACCGGGAAAGGUCGUCGGAUACUGCGGAACUAGAGGACGGUAGAGGCGUGUGGAAUUCCGGGUGUAGUGGUGAAAUGCGUAGAGAUCCGGAGGAACACCAGUGGCGAAGGCGACACGCUGGGCCGUACCUGACACUGAGGAGCGAAAGUGUGGGGAGCGAACAGG